CCUUAGUGGCGGACGGGUGAGUAACGCGUGGGAACCUACCUAGCAGUAUGGAAUAACUGUGGGAAACUGCAGCUAAUACCGUAUACGCCCUACGGGGGAAAGAUUUAUCGCUGUUAGAUGGGCCCGCGCCUGAUUAGCUUGUUGGUGAGGUAAAAGCUCACCAAGGCUACGAUCAGUAGCUGGUCUGAGAGGAUGAUCAGCCACACUGGGACUGAGACACGGCCCAG
rnacentral:rRNA from 1 species